AUUGAACGCUGGCGGAAUGCUUUACACAUGCAAGUCGAACGGCAGCACGGACUUCGGUCUGGUGGCAAGUGGCGAACGGGUGAGUAAUGUAUCGGAACGUGCCCAGUCGUGGGGGAUAACGUAGUGAAAAUUACGCUAAUACCGCAUACGAUCUAUGGAUGAAAGCGGGGGAUCGCAAGACCUCGCGCGAUUGGAGCGGCCGAGAUCAGAUUAGGUAGUUGGUGGGGUAAAGGCCCACCAAGCCAACGAUCUGUAGCCGGUCUGAGAGGACGACCAGCCACACUAGAACUGAGACACGGUCAAAGCGCCUACGGGAGGCAGCAGUGGGGAAUUUUGGACAAUGGUCGAAAGCCUGAUCCAGCCAUUCCGCGUGCAGGAUGAAGGCCCUCGGGUUGUAAACUGCUUUUGUACAGAACGAAAAGGUUUCUACUAAUACUAGGAGCUCAUGACGGUACUGUAAGAAUAAGCACCGGCUAACUACGUGCCAGCAGCCGCCGUAA
rnacentral:rRNA from 1 species